rnacentral:tRNA from 1 species
GGGACGGUUGUCUAGAUGGUUAUGAUGCUGGCCUUACGAGCCAGAGGUCGGGAGUUCAAAUCUCCCCCGUCCCA